AUGGACUUAAGGCAAACUCACUUCCUUCCAUGCUCAACUAUCGUGUUCCUAAGUAUCGACCUGAACUGGUGACUCCGCCACGUCGGGAAUUUCCUCCUGCGGAGGCGGAGGUCCAAACAUACAUCAAUAGUAUCACCUCAACGUCCUCUACCACAAAUCAACUUCCAAUUUUUCUGAUUUUUAAUCAAACAUUCAAACUGAGCUGAAAGAGGCCGAAUAAAGGCAGUGAAGAACUUCAAGAUUCCGGCUAUGAAUUUCUCUGAUGAAGAUUGAAGGCUCAGUUUGAAGAGUGAAGUUUUUGAAGAAUCCCCCCAGGUUGAAGAUAGGUUGCUUUGCUUUGAAACUAAGUGGAAAUGCGCCCUUGGAACUGCAGUUGACCUUCUACUGCCGGUUAGGCUUCUUCAUUUAUGUUACUUAUGUCCUCAGAACCUGGACUUGAACCACCAAAGGUAGAUUUAAUAUCUAAAUCACCACAUCCGUGGGGUUGAGUAGACGUCUCAAACCAGUUGAUGGAAGAUACACCAUCACUGAUCAUUUUGCAUUGACGGCAUAAUUUUCCAGGUUUAUCAUCAAAUUGAUGCAACAAUCGAAUUGUGAUAUGUGGUCUCCAUAAUAAAGGUUCCUCGUGCAGGAGAUGUAUGUCCAAGAUGUCCUGGCGAACCAACUGAAAUCUGACUAUGAACUUGGUGGAGCAAAUUGAGAUAUUGACAAUUUUUUGUAACAUGAUUGAGUAGAUUAGGUAGACAUGUAUUGGAAUAGUUAGGAUGAACAUGGUUGAACUGAGUUUCUGUUUUGCAGAUUUUUUGAAGUUUGCCAAAGACUUGGUGACCGGUUUUGUGCUUAGACCUAUGAUGAAUGACAAGUAAUCGUGGAAUUGGACUCAUGGAAUACAUGGGAGCUGUUUGGUUUUGGACCUUGUUAUUGUAAUGUAUUUGAAAUAUUGUAGUGUCAUGUAGAAUAUACAUAUUAGGACUUUGUAAUGUAACUUUGAAAUUAAAAAUGAAAAUGGAUGUGUAAUGAUUCUUUUUGGAAACAAUGGUUAUAAUUAGAAAGUUGACAAACA